GUAAAUACGGCUGGAAGUGAUGUUACCCAGUGCCGUAAAACUGUAAAUUUAGGCACAGAGUUGGUUUUCCAGACUAAUUAAUUAUUCAGCGGCUGGGUUUCUCCUCCAGCGUCCAAGGCUUCUGGAGAGCUCUCUUCAUGCUAGAUGUAUUGUGUAUUAACCUGGGUAAGCCGAGCCAGAGACUUAGGAGUUACUACCAGCUCUUCUUCUGACUAGCUCUGUUAAUUUGGGUAAUAAUGAAGCACUGUUCAGUCUGUAGUGGAGUAUGAUACAUUAUGGAUAAUUGUGUUCUUCAGCAUAAUCAGAAUUAGAUGACCUCAUAUUUGGAAUGAUAGAAGGCCCAAAGAAACAAUUUCCUGUGGGCAAGAGAGGCCCUCAAUUUUUGGCACCAAGGAUGGAAUCAGAAGCUGACUGCUAAUGAGUGCCUGUGGAGCAAGGUGUAUGGGCAAGGUGCCUGCUGAACCCUUUGGAUUCCCUGUUCUUCUUGUUACUGAUGGCUAUGGAAUCUCAUCCAGAAUACCAUAUUAAUUUAGUUGUCAUGUAUCCUCGGGCUCCUCUUGCCCAUGACAUUUUCUGAAACUUACUUUUUUUUCAUGAUCUUGAGAGUUCCUGAGGAGUACUGGGCAGGUAUAUUGUAGGAUCCACCUCAAAUGGGACUAGUCUGAUACUUUUCUCCUGAUUAGAGUUGGAUUUUAGAGAAGAACACAAAGGCUGACUCAUCUAAGCAACAGGAUGCUGGAAAGUCCUAAAGAGCCACCACAACAUUUGGAUAGCUGCUAAUUAAAGCUCUGAAGUAAAUAACUCAUAGAAACCUAAUUAGGAAAGGUCAGAGGACAAUAUUAUGAGUAGCCCCAACAUUUAAGUCACAAACCCAGAAGAGGAUUUUUUCAUUAAAGUCAUCAGAGAGUGUCCGUUUAUAGCCAGCUAAUCUUAAUUCUCUCAACAAGUUAAAUUAUUUGAAACCAGAAUGCCUUUGAAUAUGUUGUUUGCUCUGUCUAGAAUUCCCUACACAAACUAUUCUUUUCACCAUUCUGUACUCCCUCGCCCAUAAAUGUAACUGCUCCAGUGACGUUUAUCCAAACUACAUAUAUGUACCAUUCAUUCCCAUUUAUGUAUUAAGUGCUUUCUUUCAAUUUUAUCUUACUGUACUACAAUUAUGUGUCUAAAUGUCUUUGCCCUACAAUAACUUGUGAAUUUUCUAAAGUCUUUUACCGGAGUUCCCAUCGUGGAGCAGUGGUUAACGAAUCCGACUAGGAACCAUGAGGU